UGAUGAUGUUGAGGAUGAUGAUGUGAUACUGAACAACCAAUGAUCAGGCAAGGAGGGAGUGGAGGGGGUGUGUUCAGAUGCUUGGAUCUGAUCACUGCUGAUGAGAAUGCAGAGGAAGAAGGGGAAGAGAGGGAGGUAGAGGUGGGUGGGGGAGGCCUUGUCCAAGGUGAGGAGCGCCAACGCUGUUUUAAUAAAAGAGGAGAAAAGGAGAAAGGGGAGCAGGAGGAGGAGGAGGGAAAUGGGAAGCUGUCGCCUGUAAGAGGGGGAUCAACCUGCGUUGUCAUGGAAAAAUUUCGACCCAAAAGACCAACCACCCUGGCUCUGUUUCCCCAGCUACCACAAGCUGGCACCCAGGACUCCAUUAACAACAACUCUUUAGGCAAUAAUGACAGCUGGAAGGACUCCUGUUUCCCCUCCCCACAUAUUACAGGGGAUCUAACACCCCCAGAUGUCCAACCAAAAGCAGAGGACAAAGUUCAGCAAAAAACGCGCCGCCUGGCACCAAAACCACCCUCAGCCAACAGAGUGAACAGCAAAGCUAGCUCUCAGGUUGCUGCUGUAGAGACGCAAGCUCGACUGAGAGAAAGACAAGUGUCAGGGUUCACACAGACACAGUCCUACACCACAGCAAGGAGUCAAAGGAAAGGAGUAAGAGGAGCCCUAGCAAUGAGAGAGAGGAGCCUGGGAGACACCAGAGGUCACAAUGGAGGGACAACCGGGAAGGAAGAUAGAAGAGGUGGAAGGCUGUGUGAUCAGUCCAGGGGGAAGGAGAAAGAGAGAAAUGGACAGAGGCCAAGAGAAACAAAUGGACUGAAAAGCUGGGGGGCUGAUGGGAAAGGAAAAGUAGGUUCUAAAAGAGUUAACAAAGCAGGGGUAGUGAAGCCCAAUAACAUACUGUCCAACCAAGAAGUAUAUCUUACAGCCAUGGUGGUCCCACGCACGCCUCUAGCACCACGAACCGAGGACAAGACCCAUAACCAAGGACAAAACCAUGAAAGGAUCCAAGACAACCCCUCAAUCCUCUCCCUGUCCAGCAGCGAGGGGGGGCUAAACAGAAUGUCCCUCAGCUCAGAUACAGAGGGACCCCCACCAGGGCCUCCACAUCCUUCUCAAGUCCACCGAAUCGACACAGACAUCAGCGAAGAAGAGGGAGAAGGAGAUCCAACUCCGUGCUUGAACAUCCAGAUUGGUCCAACCCCUUGCCUUACAGAUAAUAAAAAAGCUGAGGUUGACUGUACAAAGUCAGAGGUGGAGACAAGGGGAGGAAAAGGUGACUAUAACAAUGAGGUGGGUGGCACCACCUUUGUCACUCAGGGAGAUGGUGCGGCUGCUCAGAUUGCACCAAAGAGGGAAGAUAUGGCACAGUUAAACUAUGACUCUGUUAAAUACACUCUGGUGGUCGAUGAACACGCUCAGUUAGAGCUGGCCAACCUCAAGGACUGCUUGCACAGUUACAAUGAUGACAGUGAUGCAGAGACGGUCUAUCAGUCAGCCAAUGAGGAGGAAGAUCCAAAGUAUGAGGAGGAAAGGAAGAGGAGAGAGAAAGCAAGAAAGCAAGACAGAAGGAAAGAGGAGGAAAACAGACGAAAGGUGGAGGAUGAGACAAAGAUGAGGAGAGAAGAGGAUGUCAAGAGGAGGAGGGAGGAAGAGGUGAAGAGGAGGAGGGACGUUGUGGGAAGGAUCUGCACGCAGUCCAAGGUAACAUCAACCACAACUUCAGAGGAGGAAGAGCCUGAUGUAGUAAGAAGUAAGAAGUUCCACAACCUGUUUUCCAACUACAGCAGUCAUUACAGCACCACAGGUGCUGGGUCAUUUGGUGUGUUCUCCUGUGUUUUGGAUGGAGUGGAGAGACAACAGAGCCACAGAGCUGUCUACAGGUUUGUCCCCCGUCAUACAGACGAGCUGUAUCUUGAAACAGAUGACCCAGUGUUAAUGCUGAACCAGUCGGAGGACCUUUGGUGUCAAGGUUACAACAUGAGGACCGGAGAUACUGGCAUCUUCCCUGCCUUCUAUGCUGUGAGGGUGGCUAAAGAUACUAACCAAGUCCAGAAAGAUGGCUGGACAGAUCAGUUCCUGGGGAAAUUCCUGGGUUCAGUUCAGGUCCCAAUCCACAAAGGCAAUGACAUGCUUUGUGCUGCAAUGCAGAAGCAAUCCAACGCUAGCAGCUGACCAUGUCAUCAGAACAGCACGACCUAAAUGUCACACCACAGACACAUAUACAACAUUGUUCUCUUUGGAGGAGUGGACGGCUACUCAAGGAAGAUCUUGUACUUGGAUGCUGAAACAAAUAACAAAGCGUCAACUGCAUUCUCAUUCUUCCUGAGAUCAACCCAGCUUCAUGGCAUACCAUCAAGGUAUUCUGCCAUGACAAAAUAAACUCAUAUCUGGAGAAGUGGCAGUUUUUUUACAUUUGAUUGUUUUAUUAAUUUAUAAUUGUAUCCCAGAAACUAUAACUUCAUAUUCUAAAGUUAAAGUAAACCUUUUGAAUGUCAUUUAAAUUUGCUUUCAUCUUAAGAGUAAGGGGGGAUCAGGGUGUUGAGAAUGUAGACAUCGCACACUUUAUGUUUGCCACACGGGGAACAGGAAGAGCGAGCUUUAUCUCGGGAAAGAGUGUCCACAAUCAGAGGUAAGUUGUUUUUGUCGGUUUUUGACUGCAUAAAUACUUCUUGGAACAAUUGAAUUGUUUAAAUAAAGUACAUAUUGCUUUAUAAAUCAGUCAACCAAUUAAAAUGUCAUUCUAGAAUAGAGCGACUUUGGCGAGAUGUCUGGGUUGCAGUCACUAGCAAGUACCAUGAUGUUCUUCACUCUCUGGAGGAAGAUGGUCUGCUUGAUUUCUCUGAUGUGGUUGAUCUCUUUGGCGUCCAGUACAUCUUUAUCCCUCGACUCCGAGCAGACCUUGAUACCUUCACUAGAGGAUGGAAUAAUCAUCCUCUACGGACAGAGGGAGGUCGCAGUCCUGAACUGUGGUUUAUGGGACAUGAACAAGCUCUAGACGAAGGGGAAAGUCUUGAGGAACUUCAAGAUCCAGGCAUUGAAUGGGAGAGUGCAAUACUGCGAGGAGACUCCCAACAGUGCAGUUGUGGUUCCAGAAAUUGUAUGCCCACUGAAUGAGGAAGCCCUGGAAGAACUUCAGAGAACUCUUGAUUCCCUGCAACAUUCUCAGUCACAUGGUCGUGACUUGUACACACGAUACUUGAACGUUGUGUCCAACCAAUGACAUUUAAACAUGAACUUCUUAGCUGGUUACAAUUUUGAACAUGGCAAAAACAUCUGAUUAACUUUACUAACGGACCAGCAAAAAAAGGCACUUCAGGAGUGGCACCCUUUUGGAUGUAUUACUAACAGUAGCAAUAAUUGCUUUGAUUGGAGUAGACCUAGUUGUGUUAAACUCUGCGGAACCCACCACCAUAUUUAACUGCUUCACUCAUGAUUCUCCUAAAGUCAGUGUAAGUGCUAAGAUGCUGUACUGGAAAAGUCACAGUCUGAGUGCAUGCACUCACAAUUGGGUAGCAAACUGCGUGAUCUCCUAGUCGCUCCCUGCAGUUGUGGUCAAAGUUGCAUGUUAUUUUGAAAUGUCUCUUUUCAUCAGGGAGCAUGGGGAUGUGGGACUGCCCCGUCCUCCACUGGAGCACGUGUGGCACUGCAAGAGGCUCUGUGUCACCAGCUGCACGGUCUGUCUCCCCAUCUGCGAUUGAUGUAUAUUUCAAAUAACAUGAAAGAGAAGCUAUUCAAACUUACAGUAUUGUCUUAUACACAUUCUUGGAUAAUACAUUGGUUAUGUGCUCUGUACAUUCAAAUGGUGUUAUGUGUAAUUGUGUAUGCACACUAUAGAGUAUAUAGUACCUGACAUUUCAACCUCCUGCAAGAAAUCUUGCAGAAAGUUGAUGAUCUUCCGCUCAGUUCUCCCCUUAGAUGUCUCCUUUUUACUGAAAUUGGGCUGGCAGUUCAUGAUUAUGAAAUCAGCACCAGGCUAUAAAGAAACAGUGAAUGCAUAUUUAGUUAAAUAUUUUAAGUGUUCAAAUAUAGGCUUGUAAAGGCUAUACAAAAUGAAGAUUCCAAUAAACAGUACAGGCCAAAAGUUUGGACACACUUUCUCAUUCAAUGCGUUUCCUUUUUACU